CAGCAGCCGCGGUAAUACGAAGGGGGCUAGCGUUGUUCGGAAUUACUGGGCGUAAAGGGCGCGUAGGCGGCCAUUCAAGUUAGAUGUGAAAGCCCUGGGCUCAACCUAGGAAUUGCAUUUGAUACUGUUUGGCUUGAGUUCGGGAGAGGUGAGUGGAAUUCCCAGUGUAGAGGUGAAAUUCGUAGAUAUUGGGAAGAACACCAGUGGCGAAGGCGGCUCACUGGACCGACACUGACGCUGAGGCGCGAAAGCGUGGGGAGCAAACAGGAUUAGAUACCCGAGUAGUCCCUGUCUCUUAUAC
rnacentral:rRNA from 1 species